rnacentral:lncRNA from 1 species
AUAAAAUAAAACACUGUAGUACGUCAACAGAAUUUAAUUAACGCAAUGGUGUAACUAUGAUAAAAGAAAUUCGCAUUUUUCCGAGGAAUAGACACAUCGAUAUUUACAAUAGUAUGAAACAAUUUCUCGGCUGUUCCAUCUAACAAAUUAUUCCUUUGAUAUGUUUAGCUGCUUAAUUUCAAUGACAUGCAUAGUUAUGCCACUGCAUUUAAAACACUGCAGUAUUCAGUGCCUAAAAUAACUAAAUAAAUCUUGAUAGUACUUCGUUCAUCUUACGAAACAAACUAGCUUAGAACAGUGGUUCUCAACAGAAGCCAUAUGGCUCCCCAGAGGUCACAUCGAAUUAAUGACGACACGAGUAAGAGCAAAGCUAAUGGGAUGGGGUGAUACAGGUAAAUGAAGGUGCCAUGAACAAAAAAGGUUGAGAACCAUUGUUUUGAGAGCCAAUAUACGGGAAUAACUUGACAGAAAAAGAAUUUUUUUCGAGUCGCGAUAUUGCAACGUGUAUCGAUUGUGACAGCGUGAUUUUUGUUUAACAAGCGUAUGUACUUUCAGGCUGGUGGAAUUCACAAUGGGAUGCACAAUGGCCAACAUCACCAGACAAUCCCUCCAUAAUCACUGUCACCACUCUUGCAGCUCCGGUAUCAAACAUCGGGACUCCCUCUUCACCUAGCCGUGCUUCGACCAUCCGAGUGACCAUCUUUAUCUAUCAUCGUGUCGGCAGAUGCCACACCUGACGUUACUGAAGUGUUGCGUGUCCGUCAGCGGUAGUUACGUGCGGGAUAGAGAUAGAAGUAUCGAUCUGUGAUUCAAGAGAGACUGUAAGCAGAGUCUUUAUCAAUCUGCAACUGAUGCCUUUCGACGUGCAACGAACUAAAUUACAUUAUACUUAAGCGAGAGGCGGGCCAGUCUCGACUCUGGCGUGUGUAAACAGACUUAGUCGAGUCUUUUAGCCUGCCAUCGCACCCACUCUAGUUUUUUCAAGUUGGAAACGAUCUUUAUGUCUUUAAGCGGGUGGCCAUCAGUUAGGGAAAAGAUCCCGCGGGUAGGAAUAGGACUAGAUGUUUAAUUAUUAAGAGUCACAUCACCGGUGUUUCCUGAUGUUAGGAAAUCUUUAGAGAAAGACGUAGCUCCCAUCCUCUGUCCAACUCCCUGUUGCAGUCACAGGGAUUUUUCUCCGGAACUUUACCCGACAGUAUCUACCAAAAAUGUAUUAGCCGAGAGCCAGGCCAAGAUUUCCCGAUUUUUGCCUCUAGCUGUGCCAAAUCUUUUCUCUUAAUAUCAGCACAAAGUUGGGGUAAAUGAUUUGUUUUAUUAGAUAUUAUAGAAUUGGCUCGAUCGAUAUUGAGUUACAUCACCAACGAUAUCGUGCUCCCUUGCGCACUUUCAAGUUUUGUUUGUUCUUUCAAGUCUCCAAUGGGACGGCUCGGGAGGAGGGCCGUAAUAGCUAUCCAGCACGAAUAGUAAGUGUCAUAUUUCCCGGGUCGUCCCGCCGUUCGGAGAAGUUUUGUUGUUCUCUCCAGGUGGGCAGGAAACGCAGCCUCCGAUUUACCUGAAUAACAGUAUUUUACAAGUUCCUAUUUUGAAAAUUUUCGGGCAGUUGGAACGGUGAGUCACCACUCACCGAUCGGGGGUGCUUCCCCUUAAUGAUUUCUACCGUUGCGAAGUUUCUAGUGAACAC